AUGGCACUUAUGGGGCUGCUAUGGGUCACUUAUGGGUCACUUAUGGGUCACUUAUGGGUCACUUAUGGGUCCAGGUAUGGUAUCAGGUAUGGGGAGAUGGGAGUCAUCUAUGGGGGCAGCUAUGGGGUCAGCUAUGGGGGCAGCUAUGGGGAGAUGGAGGUCAGGUAUGGGGUUGUGGGGUCAGGUAUGGGGUCACUUAUGGGGCCAGGUAUGGGGAGAUGGGGGUCAUCUGUGGGGGCAGCUAUGGGGUCAGCUAUGGGGCAGCUAUGGGGGCAGCUAUGGGGAGAUGGGGGUCAGGUAUGGGGUUAUGGGGUCUGUUAUGGGGUCAGGUAUGGGGUUGUGGGGUCAGGUAUGGGGUCACUUAUGGGGCCAGGUAUGCGGUCAGGUAUGGGAUCAGGUAUGGGGUUAUGGGGUCAGUUAUGGGGCUAUAGGGAGAUAGAGAUCACUUAUGGGUCACUUAUGGGGUCAGUUAUGGGGUCAGUUAUGGGGUCAGUUAUGGGUCAGUUAUGGGGUCAGGUAUGGGGAGAUGUGGGUCAGGUAUGCGGUCAGGUAUGGGGAAAUAUGAGUCACUUAUGGGGUCACUAAUGAGGUCACUUAUGGGGUCAGUGAUGGGGCUAUGGGGAGAUAGCUGUCACUUUGGGUCACUUAUGGGGCCACUUAUGGGGUCAUGGGGUCAAGUAUAGGGUUAUGGGGUCAGGUAUGGGGCCAGGUAUGGGGUCAGAUAUGGGGUCAGGUAUGGGGAGAUAGGGGUCACUUAUGGGGCCAGAUAUGAGGUCAGGUAUGGGGCCUGGUAUGGGGUCAGAUAUGGGGUCAGAUAUGAGGUCAGGUAUGGGGUCAGUUAUGGGGUUAUAGGGUCAGUUAUGGGGUUAUAGGGUCAGUUAUGGGGUUAUAGGGUCAGUUAUGGGGUCACUUAUGGGGUGAUGUGGGUCACUUAUGGGGUCAGGUAUAGUGUCAGGUAUGGGGUUAUGGAGAGAUGUAGGUCACUUAUGGGGUCAGCCGUGGGGUCAGCGGAGUUAUGGGGUCAGUGGGGUCACUCCAUAACCCCCCAUAAGCCCAUUACCCCCCCAUAACCCCCCAUAACCCCAUAGCCCCUCAUAAUGCCCCCAUAACACCCCCAUACCUACCCCAUAACCCCCCAUAACCCCAUAGAUACCCAUAACUGCCCCAUAACCCCCAUAGACCCCAUAACCCCCCUAUNNNNNNNNNNNNNNNNNNNNNNNNNAUAGGGGUCAGCUAUGGGGCCACUUACGGGGAGAUGUAGGUCACUUAUGGGGUCAGCCAUGGGGUCAGCUAUGGGGUCAGAGGAGUUAUGGGGUCAGUGGGGUCACCCCAUAACCCCCCAUAACCCCAUAGCCCCCCAUAACCCCAUUACCCCCCAUAACCCCCCAUAAGCCCAUUACCCCCACCAUAACCCACUAGCCACUCCAUAACGCACCCCAUAACACCCCCAUACUCUACGCCAUAACGCCCCCAUAACCCAUAGAAUACCCAUUAAACUGCCCCAUAACCCCCAUAGACCCCAUAACCCCCCUAUCACCCCCCCAUAGCCCCCCAUAGACACCCAUAACCCCAUAUUAGACCCUUU
ensembl:lncRNA